AACGAACGCUGGCGGCAUGCCUAACACAUGCAAGUCGAACGAUCCCUUCGGGGAUAGUGGCGCACGGGUGCGUAACGCGUGGGAACCUGCCCUUAGGUUCGGAAUAACUCAGAGAAAUUUGAGCUAAUACCGGAUAAUGUCUUCGGACCAAAGAUUUAUCGCCUUUGGAUGGGCCCGCGUUGGAUUAGCUAGUUGGUGGGGUAAAGGCCUACCAAGGCGACGAUCCAUAGCUGGUCUGAGAGGAUGAUCAGCCACACUGGGACUGAGACACGGCCCAGACUCCUACGGGAGGCAGCAGUGGGGAAUAUUGGACAAUGGGCGAAAGCCUGAUCCAGCAAUGCCGCGUGAGUGAUGAAGGCCUUAGGGUUGCAAAGCUCUUUUACCCGGGAUGAUAAUGACAGUACCGGGAGAAUAAGCCCCGGCUAACUCCGUG
rnacentral:rRNA from 1 species